AACCCGAUGUAGCUGUUAUACU
rnacentral:miRNA from 1 species